GACUCCUAGAUCCAGAUCCUCCUCACGUCAGGAGAACACGCAGUUUGCCGAUUUUGCCUCCAAACAUGGGAGGAGAGAGUCCAGCAGGCUUCUGGGCUUCAAAUCCGGUUUCAGUUUCUGUUGGGCUCCCACAUCACAGGAGGAGAAGAAGAAGAAGUAAGGAACAGCCUCCAUCCAUGGGAGGAGAGAGUCCUGGUCCAGCGCCCCCAGUGUCAGGAAACAGAGAGAGAUUCUACAGCAGUGAGACCUACCAGGAGGCAGAGGAACAGCUCAGAGAGAUAGAGAGAAUAAUACAGGGAGAACGAGAGGUGGAGGAGAGGAAACUGAGGGAGGAGAGAGAGAGAAGAGAGGAACUUGAUACAAAUGUUCAGGAGUCUCUGAAGAUGAUGGAGGGAGAGAUUCAGCAGCAUGAAGGAGAAAUUAGAAUAUUAAAUGAAAGAACAACAGAACUGGAGAGAAAGAUGAAAGAAGAGAGGGAUGAAGAGAAGAGGAGGGAGAUGGAGAGAGAGUUAAAGAGAGAGAUUACACAGAGAGAGGAGAUGGAGAGAAAAAUGAUCAGAG